AACGAACGCUGGCGGCAUGCCUAACACAUGCAAGUCGAACGAGACCUUCGGGUCUAGUGGCGCACGGGUGCGUAACGCGUGGGAACCUGCCUUUAGGUUCGGAAUAACUCCCCGAAAGGGGUGCUAAUACCGGAUAAUGUCUUCGGACAAAGAUUUAUCGCCUUUAGAUGGGCCCGCGUAAGAUUAGGUAGUUGGUGGGGUAAAGGCCUACCAAGCCGACGAUCUUUAGCUGGUCUGAGAGGAUGAUCAGCCACACUGGGACUGAGACACGGCCCAGACUCCUACGGGAGGCAGCAGUGGGGAAUAUUGGACAAUGGGCGAAAGCCUGAUCCAACAAUGCCGCGUGAGAGAUGAAGGCCUUAGGGUUGUAAAGCUCUUUUACCAGGGAUGAUAAUGACAGUACCUGGAGAAUAAGCUCCGGCUAACUCCGUGCCAGCAGCCGCGGUAAUACGGAGGAGCUAGCGUUGUUCGGAAUUACUGGGCGUAAAGCGCACGUAGGCGGCGAUUC
rnacentral:rRNA from 1 species